rnacentral:rRNA from 1 species
UACGUAGGGGGCAAGCGUUAUCCGGAUUUACUGGGUGUAAGGGGAGCGUAGACGGCAGCGCAAGUCUGGAGUGAAAUGCCGGGGCCCAACCCCGGAACUGCUUUGGAAACUGUGCAGCUCGAGUGCAGGAGAGGUAAGCGGAAUUCCUAGUGUAGCGGUGAAAUGCGUAGAUAUUAGGAGGAACCCCAGUGGCGAAGGCGGCUUACUGGACUGUAACUGACGUUGAGGCUCGAAAGCGUGGGGAGCAAACAGG